rnacentral:rRNA from 1 species
GACGGAGGAUGCAAGCGUUAUCCGGAAUGAUUGGGCGUAAAGCGUCCGCAGGUGGCCGUUCAAGUCUACUGUCAAAGACCGGGGCUUAACUUCGGAAAGGCAGUGGAAACUGAACAGCUAGAGUAUGGUAGGGGCAGAGGGAAUUCCUGGUGUAGCGGUGAAAUGCGUAGAGAUCAGGAAGAACAUCGGUGGCGAAGGCGCUCUGCUGGACCAUAACUGACACUCAGGGACGAAAGCUAGGGGAGCGAAUGGG